GGGGGGUGGACAUCUGGAUGCUGUAGCAAGCCCCUUAAACUGAGCCUUCCCAGAGUCCGAUCUCUGUCUCUCUGUGCAGCUGGGUGUGGCCCUGCCCAUGUGCUUGGCUGGAAAAGGCUAGCCCAGCAAGACCAGGAUUCUGUUCCAUGGGCAGCUUUGGUAGGAGUGACAGGAGCAGAGACCUCACUCAAAUGGCCUAAAAUCUGUCUGUGAGAGGAGAAUGAAGCCUAAGCAGUGACUUUCCUCCAUCCUUAACCCUGUAGAAGCCUGCCCUUACAUAUGAAAUCUAAGUGGCCGGAGAUGCGUGAGUUGUGGGUGGGGGUGGCAAAGCUGAGGAACAUCCAUGUUAAAUAGCAACAGUUUCCAGAAAACCCAUGGGAAAAUAGUAGUGGGAAUUCUGGUCUUGCAGCAUUAACUCUGUUUCUGCUCUGGGCUUUGAGACAGUGGGCCAGCAUGGCUUCACAGGGAGCCAGGUUGCCAUGGGAAUGAGAGGGCUCGAUGAUUGUCAUGAAGGAUAUCUGACACAGAUGUCCUGAUAUCUGUGGGGUUUUUCUCUGUAGAUUUCCUUAAUUUGCUUCAGUAGGAGUUGUAGAUGCUCAGCACUUAGGAUCAGGCCAUAACUGUUUUUCUUUAAUGAAAUAGUUUAAAAAAAAAACAAAAAACUGCCACAGCCUUGUGUGGUGCAAAGCUGUCCUAGCAACCUCAAACAGUCCAGCUAUGAUAUGUAGCUGUGUUCUCUUUCUGCUUUUAGGCAGCUUUUAUGUCCUCCUCAUUGUUUUAGGCUGUUGGUGUCACUUCAAAGGUGUAUGGUAUUUUAAAAUAAAAAGUUUACACCUGG